rnacentral:piRNA from 1 species
UACCCAGAAACAGAAUACAAAUAGGAUG